rnacentral:rRNA from 1 species
GAUGAACGCUGGCGGCGUGCCUAAUACAUGCAAGUCGAGCGAACGGACGAGAAGCUUGCUUCUCUGAUGCUAGCGGCGGACGGGUGAGUAACACGUGGAUAACCUACCUAUAAGACUGGGAUAACUUCGGGAAACCGGAGCUAAUACCGGAUAAUAUUUUGAACCGCAUGGUUCAAAAGUGAAAGACGGUCUUGCUGUCACUUAUAGAUGGAUCCGCGCUGCAUUAGCUAGUUGGUAAGGUAACGGCUUACCAAGGCAACGAUGCAUAGCCGACCUGAGAGGGUGAUCGGCCACACUGGAACUGAGACACGGUCCAGACUCCUACGGGAGGCAGCAGUAGGGAAUCUUCCGCAAUGGGCGAAAGCCUGACGGAGCAACGCCGCGUGAGUGAUGAAGGUCUUCGGAUCGUAAAACUCUGUUAUUAGGGAAGAACAUAUGUGUAAGUAACUGUGCACAUCUUGACGGUACCUAAUCAGAAAGCCACGGCUAACUACGUGCCAGCAGCCGCGGUAAUACGUAGGUGGCAAGCGUUAUCCGGAAUUAUUGGGCGUAAAGCGCGCGUAGGCGGUUUUUUAAGUCUGAUGUGAAAGCCCACGGCUCAACCGUGGAGGGUCAUUGGAAACUGGAAAACUUGAGUGCAGAAGAGGAAAGUGGAAUUCCAUGUGCAGCGGUGAAAUGCGCAGAGAUAUGGAGGAACACCAGUGGCGAAGGCGACUUUCUGGUCUGUAACUGACGCCGAUGUGCGAAAGCGUGGGGAUCAAACAGGAUUAGAUACCCUGGUAGUCCACGCCGUAAACGAUGAGUGCUAAGUGUUAGGGGGUUUCCGCCCCUUAGUGCUGCAGCUAACGCAUUAAGCACUCCGCCUGGGGAGUACGACCGCAAGGUUGAAACUCAAAGGAAUUGACGGGGACCCGCACAAGCGGUGGAGCAUGUGGUUUAAUUCGAAGCAACGCGAAGAACCUUACCAAAUCUUGACAUCCUUUGACAACUCUAGAGAUAGAGCCUUCCCCUUCGGGGGACAAAGUGACAGGUGGUGCAUGGUUGUCGUCAGCUCGUGUCGUGAGAUGUUGGGUUAAGUCCCGCAACGAGCGCAACCCUUAAGCUUAGUUGCCAUCAUUAAGUUGGGCACUCUAAGUUGACUGCCGGUGACAAACCGGAGGAAGGUGGGGAUGACGUCAAAUCAUCAUGCCCCUUAUGAUUUGGGCUACACACGUGCUACAAUGGACAAUACAAAGGGCAGCGAAACCGCGAGGUCAAGCAAAUCCCAUAAAGUUGUUCUCAGUUCGGAUUGUAGUCUGCAACUCGACUACAUGAAGCUGGAAUCGCUAGUAAUCGUAGAUCAGCAUGCUACGGUGAAUACGUUCCCGGGUCU